GGAGGGGUGGCAGAGUGGACUAAUGCGCAUGACUCGAAAUCAUGUGUACCGCAAGGUACCGGGGGUUCGAAUCCCUCCCCCUCCGCCA
rnacentral:tRNA from 1 species